rnacentral:rRNA from 1 species
UUCCAGACUCCUACGGGAGGCAGCAGUGGGGAAUAUUGCACAAUGGGGGAAACCCUGAUGCAGCGACGCCGCGUGAGUGAAGAAGUAUUUCGGUAUGUAAAGCUCUAUCAGCAGGGAAGAAAAUGACGGUACCUGACUAAGAAGCCCCGGCUAACUACGUGCCAGCAGCCGCGGUAAUACGUAGGGGGCAAGCGUUAUCCGGAUUUACUGGGUGUAAAGGGAGCGUAGACGGCAUGGCAAGUCAGAUGUGAAAGCCCGGGGCUCAACCCCGGGACUGCAUUUGGAACUGUGUGGCUGGAGUGUCGGAGAGGCAGGCGGAAUUCCUAGUGUAGCGGUGAAAUGCGUAGAUAUUAGGAGGAACACCAGUGGCGAAGGCGGCCUGCUGGACGAUGACUGACGUUGAGGCUCGAAAGCGUGGGGAGCAAACAGGAUUAGAUACCCGUGUAG